CUUUUCUUUUCCAACUAAUAUAUAACUGUCUUUAUUUUAUUCGAUUAUAAGCUGAAACAUGAAAAAACAACAAACUAAUAAAGGCGUGGAAGUGGAGCAGACGGCUUGGAAAAUAAAUGGUGUUAAAAAAUGAAUUUUUUGGAUUAACCUACCUUAUACGAUUCGAGGUUAUGUACUACUUCAAGUGUUGUGCUUUUGCAGAUAUCUAUGCGCACGUAGAUUGAAUCAUAUA